rnacentral:rRNA from 1 species
UACAGAGGUCUCGAGCGUUAGGUGGAAUCACUGGGCUUAAAGCGUGUGUAGGUGGAUGCCUAAGUACCUUGUGAAAUCCCACAGCUUAACUGUGGAACUGCUUGGUAUACUGGGUGUCUUGAGUCACUCAGGGGCGAGCGGAACAAAUGGUGGAGCGGUGAAAUGCGUAGAUAUCAUUUGGAACGCCAAUGGUGAAAACAGCUCGUUGGGGGUGCACUGACACUGAGACACGAAAGCCAGGGGAGCGAACGGG